GACGAACGCUGGCGGCGUGCUUAACACAUGCAAGUCGAACGGAAAGGCCCUGCUUUUGUUGGGUGCUCGAGUGGCGAACGGGUGAGUAACACGUGAGUAACCUGCCCUUGACUGUGGGAUAACUUCAGGAAACUGGGGCUAAUACCGGAUAUGAGCUCCUGCUGCAUGGGGGGGGUUGGAAAGUUUCGGCGGUUGGGGAUGGACUCGCGGCUUAUCAGCUUGUUGGGGGGGUAGUGGCUUACCAAGGGUUUGACGGGUAGCCGGCCUGGGAGGGUGACCGGCCACAUGGGGACUGAGGUAGGGCCCAGACUCGAACGGGAGGCAGCGGGGGGAAGUAUGGCCGAAUGGGCGGAAGCCUGAGGCGGAAACCCCGGGUGCGGGAGGACGGCUUUCGGGUUGAAAACCGCUUUCGCAUGUGCCGAAGCGUGAGUGACGGUACCGGGUAAAGAAGCACCGGCUAACUACGUG
rnacentral:rRNA from 1 species